UACAGAGGGUGCAAGCGUUAAUCGGAAUUACUGGGCGUAAAGGGCACGUAGGCGGCGGAUUAAGUUAGUUGUGAAAUCCCUGGGCUUAACCUGGGAACUGCAAUUAAAACUGAUUAGCUAGAGUCGAAGAGAGGGGGGCGGAAUUUCCGGUGUAGCGGUGAAAUGCGUAGAUAUCGGAAGGAACACCAGUGGCGAAGGCGGCCCCCUGGCUUCAGACUGACGCUGAGGUGCGAAAGCGUGGGUAGCGAACAGG
rnacentral:rRNA from 1 species